CACCGCCCGUCACAUCAUGAAAGCCAUUUGUACCCGAAGUCCACGUGCUAACCGCAAGGAGGCAGUGGCCGAAGGUAUGGACGGUGAUUGGGAUG
rnacentral:rRNA from 1 species